UAAGCAACAAAGGAAAUGUGGUGGGAACAUGCCCUUCUCUGGGUUAUAAAAAGAAACUUGGAAUCAAACGUUGGGCAAUUUUCUAAAAUCCUAGAAGUCUGUCAUGACAGAACAUGAACAAACAUAAAACAUACAUUACCAAAUCGACAAGGGCAAACCAGUAAAAUCACAAAGACUGGUGGAAGGCAGAGCGAUCAGAACACCAACACCACUGAGGACUUGACUGCCCCUGUCAUCCAAGAAGAACCUCGUCUACUCCUGUCUUUGUCAGAGUCUUCAUUUCCUGAACAGUCAAGGCCAGGGAAAUCAUCAUUUUCUUUCUCAACAAUUAAGUAAAGUCAGAAAGACAUGAAGACAGAACCAAAGGGAAGCCAGACCUCUGGUGUUUGGAAUGAGCUGGAAUAUGUAUCCCCACACCUUAGUGGUGGCCGAUGUAGAUAUACUUAGGUGAGAUC